UACGGGGGGAGCAAGCGUUGUUCGGAUUUACUGGGCGUAAAGGGCUCGUAGGCGGCCCUCUCAGUCGGAUGUGAAAUCCCCAGGCUUAACCUGGGAACGGCAUCCGAUACUGGAGGGCUUGAAUUCGGGAGAGGGAUGCAGAAUUCCAGGUGUAGCGGUGAAAUGCGUAGAUAUCUGGAGGAAUACCGGUGGCGAAGGCGGCAUCCUGGACCGAGAUUGACGCUGAGGAGCGAAAGCUAGGGGAGCAAACGGG
rnacentral:rRNA from 1 species